UUCUUGAUGUUGAGUCAGAAUCUGCUUUCUUGUAAGUUGAAGCCAUUGGUUCGAGUCCUACCCUCCGGAGCAGCGGAAACUUAUCUUGUUCCCUCUUCCAUGUGACAGCCCUUAAGAUAUUUGAAGAUGGCUAUCCCAUCUCCUCUCGGUCUCCUCUUUUCCAGGUUAAACAUACCCAACUUCUUCAAC